AUACGUAUGUCGCAAGCGUUAUCCGGAAUUAUUGGGCGUAAAGCGAGUCUAGGCGGCUUGUUAAGUCAGAUGUGAAAAUGCGGGGCUCAACUCCGUAUUGCGUUUGAAACUGGCAGGCUAGAGUACUGGAGAGGUGGGCGGAACUACAAGUGUAGAGGUGAGAUUCGUAGAUAUUUGUAGGAAUGCCGAUAGUGAAGACAGCUCACUGGACAGAUACUGACGCUAAAGCUCGAAAGCGUGGGGAGCGAACAGGAUUAGAAACCCUAGUAGUCC
rnacentral:rRNA from 1 species